UUUUUUAUUAUUAAGUUUCACCUUGCAGCUUUAAACAUUUUUUAGCAAUUCAUAAUUCUAGACUCUUAAAAACAAAAACAAAAUUGUCGGCAAAUGAUCCGACCGCACGUCCGCUCAGUUUGAAAUCAAAACACCUUCAACCACCCCCGUACAACGGUAGUUCGCAACGAGGCAGAUGGAACCAAAUCGAACUCGUAGCGGAAACACAAAGCCGACUAACUUAUACUCUUCACAUACUUUUUGUUUCAGGGAUUAUUAAAGGUUAUUUUUGGUUAAGCGGCUUUUGAAUUUUAGACCGAUGCUUAGACCGAUGGUAGAGUGAGUGAGUGAGGCGCCAACACAACAUUCUUGAGGUCACCUUGCUGCCAACAAUGCCAACAAUGGAUCCAGGAUUGCGAUUGCCAGUCUUGAUUCUGUGAAAUGGUUGGAAAUAAGAGAAAUAUUAGAAAUUAUUUACAUUUUCAUAAUGGAAUUCAUUCCAUUCUUACCUGGAAUGGACCAAUAGAGGAUCCUUUUUGUAGAGCUUCAAUUCGCCAUGCAUAUGGGAAUUAGAUUUACGCAAAUCCUCAAUAUGAUUGUAAAUUGCUUCGGUGACGUUCAGAUACUCGUCCAAAUUGACUGGCACCACGGGCACACCAGGUAACAACGGGAGAACGUAGGCCAUAGCCGAAUUAUCUUGAUUGGAGCUCAAAUAGACUUCACCAAACAAAGGCACACAUCUCGAGACACCACGGUGCACCGUUAUAAAGGCAUCACAGAAUUGAUAUUGUUGUUCAGACAAAUUCCUUGGACGCCAACAUAACUGCCAUCAACUUGAUCCCAAGCGCACGUAUAGCUCUUGAUCUUGAGCCAAGUUGUGGGCGCACUCGUUGGAUUACUCUUCCAAACAAAUAGUUGGAAUCCUUUGUUACGACAUUGGGAGUAGCAACAAGUUCCUUGAAAGUUCCUGUAGAAAUCAGAAAACUUGUCAUUUGGACCCUUGCCACCAUCAGCUCGUCGGCUCCAUCGUUUAGUGCCACAUUCUUCCUCUACUCCACUAUAUCGACAACAUCAACCAAUUGCUUACGUCAUUGAUAUUACGCUUAUAUGAUAAUGUGACUUUGAUUCUUGGGCUGCUGAUAAAAAGAUAAAUGGAAUAUUACAUUUUAAAAACACUUUAA